UACGUAGGGUGCGAGCGUUGUCCGGAAUUACUGGGCGUAAAGAGCUCGUAGGUGGUUUGACGCGUUGUCCGUGAAAACUCACAACUCAAUUGUGGGCGUGCGGGCGAUACGGGCAGACUGGAGUACUGCAGGGGAGACUGGAAUUCCUGGUGUAGCGGUGGAAUGCGCAGAUAUCAGGAGGAACACCGGUGGCGAAGGCGGGUCUCUGGGCAGUAACUGACGCUGAGGAGCGAAAGCGUGGGGAGCAAACAGG
rnacentral:rRNA from 1 species